UGGACACCUGAAUUGCUUCCAUCUUUUGGCAACUGUGAAUAAUGCUGCUAUGAACAUUGAAAGAAGAUUGUGGUUCUGUGGAACAUUCCUGUGUCUCUCUCUUCAGGAGCUGAUUACAGGGAUGCCUGAGGGUAAUAGUCCUUGUCCCUCAGAGUGUGCAGAGGGACAUCUUGGGCUUCACUGAGCUUUCCAGUGCCAGCACC